rnacentral:rRNA from 1 species
GAAACCAACAGGGAUUGCCUUAGUAACGGCGAGUGAAGCGGCAAUAGCUCAAAUUUGAAAUCUGGCGCUUGCGUCCGAGUUGUAAUUUGUAGAGGAUGAUUUUGGUUAGGUACCUUUCGAGUUCCUUGGAACAGGACGCCUUAGAGGGUGAGAGCCCCGUACGAUUGGAUGCCGAGCCUCUGUAAAUCUCCUUCGACGAGUCGAGUAGUUUGGGAAUGCUGCUCUAAAUGGGAGGUAAAUUUCUUCUAAAGCUAAAUACCGGCCAGAGACCGAUAGCGCACAAGUAGAGUGAUCGAAAGAUGAAAAGCACUUUGAAAAGAGGGUUAAAUAGCACGUGAAAUUGUUGAAAGGGAAGGAUUUAUGACCAGACUUUUUCUAGGAGAAUCAUCCGGUGUUCUCACCGGUGCACUUCUUUUAGUUUAGGCCAGCAUCGACUUUCGGCGGUGGAUAAAAGCUUUAGGAAUGUGGCUUCCCUCCGGGAGUGUUAUAGCCUAUUGUAUAAUACACUGCUGGGGGUCGAGGUACGCGCUUCUGCAAGGAUGCUGGCGUAAUGGUUAUCAAUCACCCGUCUUGAAACACGGACCAAGGAGUCGAACAUUUGUGCGAGUGUUUGGGUGUUAAACCCUCACGCGUAAUGAAAGUGAACGGAGGUGAGAGCCCUUACGGGUGCAUCAUCGACCGAUCCUGAUGUUUUCGGAUGGAUUUGAGUAAGAGCAUAAAUGUUCGGACCCGAAAGAUGGUGAACUAUGCGUGGAUAGGGUGAAGCCAGAGGAAACUCUGGUGGAGGCUCGCAGCGGUUCUGACGUGCAAAUCGAUCGUCAAAUCUGCGCAUGGGGGCGAAAGACUAAUCGAACCAUCUAGUAGCUGGUUACCG